rnacentral:rRNA from 1 species
CAGUCGCCACGGUAAUACGUAGGUGGCAAUCGUUGUCCGGAAUUAUUGGGCGUAAAGGGCUCGCAGGCGGUUUCUUAAGUCUGAUGUGAAAGCCCCCGGCUCAACCGGGGAGGGUCAUUGGAAACUGGGAAACUUGAGUGCAGAAGAGGAGAGUGGAAUUCCACGUGUAGCGGUGAAAUGCGUAGAGAUGUGGAGGAACACCAGUGGCGAAGGCGACUCUCUGGUCUGUAACUGACGCUGAGGAGCGAAAGCGUGGGGAGCGAACAGGAUUAGAUACCCCAGUAGUCCCUGUCUCUUAUAC